rnacentral:lncRNA from 1 species
GCGGUUUCAUGAACUCAUCUUUUUCGUGGAGCCUGGCAAACAAGAACAGACUGUUUUUAGAAGUCGUCAUGGUGAUUUGGACCCUGAUUUUCAGAAAGAGUUUUAAGUGAUUUGUUGUCUGUUUCCCUGACAAUGGGAACUUAGGGAAUCGAAUUCUUCAGAGUAAAAACUUGUCCCCCCAAGCUUCCCGUCCUGGCUACUCUAGGCCUGACGUCCUGAAGCCUCUCAUAGGAUGGGAACCUGACAGGCUCCUGAGACAAGCCCUCCUACUGUGUAUAGGAAACUCUUUCAGGAACAGCGAGUUUCACCAAAGCAGGAGUCGGUGUUUACCUGUGACCAGUGCUGGGCAUGGAUCUGCAAAUCUGUUUAUCAUCAUAGGACCCAACGUUUCACCUUUUGCUCUAUCUCCGAGGAAACUCAGAAUUCAAGCUCUUCAGUAAUAGUAAUGAUUUUGGUUGAUACCUGGUAACUGCUUAUCAGCUCUUUUCAAGUGGCUUUACCUUUAAAUAAAUUUUUAAAGGCACCUUGAAUCUCAUCUUUGAAAGUAUAUAGAAAAUCAAUAAAAUCAGCACUCCAACCCA